rnacentral:snRNA from 1 species
GUCUCUUCGGAGACAUCCAAUAAAAUUGGAACGAUACAGAGAAGAUUAGCAUGGCCCCUGCACAAGGAUGACACGCACAAAUAAAAAAAUUACCUUCAAUUG